AUUGAACGCUGGCGGCAGGCUUAACACAUGCAAGUCGAGCGAGCGGCGGACGGGUGAGUAAUGUCUGGGAAACUGCCUGCUGGAGGGGGAUAACUACUGGAACCGGUAGCUAAUACCGCAUACCAUCAGAUGUGCCCAGAUGGGCUUAGCUAGUAGGUGGGGUAAUGGCUCACCUAGGCGACGAUCCCUAGCUGGGCUGAGAGGAUGACCAGGCACACGGGAACGGAGACACGGUCCAGAGUCCUACGGGAGGCAGCAGUGGGGAAUAUUGCACAAUGGGCGAAAGGCUGAUGCAGCCAUGCCGCGUGUGUGAAGAAGGCCUUAGGGUUGUAAAGCACUUUCAGCGAGGAGGCGUUACUCGCAGAAGAAGCACCGGCUAACUCCGUGCCAGCAGCCGCGGUAAUAC
rnacentral:rRNA from 1 species